UGCUCUCCCUUUUGUUUCACCCAUUCUCUGGUUCCAUCUGUUGGUGAAGAGUUUGUAGAGAAGGGAAAGAGAGGAACCCUCAGAUACAGAAAACUCACAAACCCACAAACAUGUCGUUGGGUUAUGCACAGAAGCUUUCCUACAAAGAAGACGUGGGCACUGUUGGAAUGUCUGAGAUUUUCGACCCACCCCAUGUUUUGCAAGAAAAAAGCUUGCACGUGAUAACUUAUCAACAUGCAUAUCAGACAUGUUGGAACGAAGUUGGCCACUUUUGCCAAGACUUGAGCGAUUGACUUGAGCAAAAAACAGGUAAUUGCAGGGGUAAUGCACUAUCUUAAUCUGUGAAUUCCUCCAUAUGUUCAAGUUGAUCUUUUCCAUAUCAGUCUUACUCAGUUCUCCAGGAUGUUGGGUAUAUUUUGCUAACUUCUAUCCUUGUUUUUUAAUAUAGUGAUCAAUAUAAAACGUGUUUGUUAAUAUGCAGCCACUUACUGGUUGGCCCAACCUUUUUAUCAUCAAGGUACAAAGAUUGGUGGCAUUUGAUGAAUCAUACACCCUAUAUUUGACCUUUUUUCUGAGGAAAAUAAUUUUUUUUUAUUAAUAUAAAAUUGUUAAUUUAUCGUUUUAUUACUUUACAAACUCAGAGAUAUUUCCAUUGCCAUAUAAUUCCCAAACAUUUAACCAUGCUUGAGAGGCAGGAUCACCACCUGUUUUAGUAUAGGAAAAUAAUUUUUUCUAUUAAUAUCCUUUUCAAUAUAUUUCCAUUUUCCACCAUGUUGUGUGACUUGAACCAUAUUAACCCAAAAUUUGACUGAAUUUUUUAAUACCUGCUUGAGAUUGUGGCAUUUCAUUUACGAUUCAGAGAGUAGAUAUAUGAAAUGGACCCUCAGGGUAGCUAGUGUUCAUGGACAGAAAGCUCCAGUGCUAUGGCAUCGUGGAAAAGGUCUUAAAUAUCUUAUCUGGUUAUUAGCAUAGGUGUUUUCUUCUUUGAAAGUCUUCGUUACAUGGUUCCUAACUGUUUAUCAUCUCAUGAUAAUAUUAUCCCCUUUCUAUCUUCUUCCUUGAUGGAGAACCUUAAUUACUUUUGAUUUUAAUCCUCCUGUUGCAUUUGCAAUAUAGGUGUCCUUCUCAGAUAGGCCUGAUCUUAAAACAGCUGUUUUACAAAAGCAACCCUUUGUGCUGAAAGGGCAUUUUCAUUUAUAUAAAUAGUGCAAUAGAUGGGGUUGGGUUUACAAAUUUUUCUUACUGUUUAGAUGUUUAGUUGCAAGGCCUGGGUUUAUGUAUUUGUUACCUUUGAUACUAUGCACUCAUUGUGUAGACACUGAUGCUAUCCACCAUUGCAAGUCCUCAUUAGACGCACUGAAAUGCUAAUAUGCCGAAUAAUUUUCUGAUGUUAUCCAUUCAUUUUUAGAAAUUGUCUCAUGAAUUGAUAUUUUCUGGCUGUUUUAAAAGAAUUCUAUGAGCUUAGAUAAUAAUGGUAAGAGAUGACAUGUUGAUAAUCAAAUUUAAGUUUAGGUGAUUACAGAAAUGGGGAUUAGAUGGCAGGUUGGACAACUCCUCAUCAAAGUUGCAACUUGUUUUGUCUUAAUAUUGUUGAACUACCAAUUUUCCUAAAAGUUUAAGUUUGUAGGUUUUGAGUCCACAAUCUAUAUUAUGUUCUUUAACACCCUUCUUCAUGUGGAGAGAAAUACAGCCUUGUAGGUAAACAAAAACCCCUUUGGGCUCGAUAAAUUUGGGAAAAUAAAUAUUAUAUGAUGAGGCUUGAACAUAUGACCUCCUACCAGACGAGGCUUUAAUAUCAUGUUAAACUACCAAUUUUAUUAAAAACUUAAGUUUAUAGGAUUUGGGUCCAUAACAUAUAUCAUGAUCUUUAGCAUUUCUGUAACUCUGUUCUUCUUUCCUAACUUUUUUUUCCUUCCCCUUUUCUCUAUUUACCAGGGAAAUGGUUAGACCUAGACCCUUUUAAAAUGGUCCUGACGCUGAAUUUUAGUGAUGGUUGUGGGUGUAAGUUCCCACUUCCCAGUCAACUUUCAGGUAGUUACAGACAACAUCAACCAUGACAAGGAUGUUGUGGUUCAGAAGCUUAGGAACACUGCAGUAGAAGAUGAAAGCUGUGGGCAGGUUUUGGUUGUUGAGAGAGAGAAGACUUUAGCCCCCAAAAAGGAAACUACCGUUUAUGCCAUUGCAACCAACAUUGUUUGGUACAGAGGCCUUUUGGCUUGCUCUGGACUAUCAGAAGUCAAUGGCAACAUGGCAAGAAAGCAUGCUGAUGUGAAUGAUACUGAAAAGCCUUUGAAGAAAUUGAAAAUGCUAGGGUACAUAUACAUUUGCUCCUUUUUUGGCAUAGAAAUUUGAGAAAUCAUCCUGCUACCCACAAGGGGAAAUUUGACAGGGAAGUGUAGAUAACAUAGAAGUUAGAAGUGCAUAUAUAGUAUAUAUGGGCUCAGUGAAUUUUGUAUGCAAACACUUGGUCUCCUUUACUUAAAUGUGAAUAUGGAAUGGGGAGAGAGCAUGUUUUUGCCACAACCCUUUUUGUCUGUAAAUGUUUAGACAACUGUAAAGAUCAUCUUGGAGGAAACUAGGUUCUAUGGAUUAUUUUUCCA